UACGGAGGGUGCAAGCGUUAUCCGGAUUCACUGGGUUUAAAGGGUGCGUAGGCGGGUUGGUAAGUCAGUGGUGAAAUCUUCAAGCUUAACUUGGAAACUGCCGUUGAUACUAUCAAUCUUGAAUAUUGUGGAGGUAAGCGGAAUAUGUCAUGUAGCGGUGAAAUGCUUAGAUAUGACAUAGAACACCAAUUGCGAAGGCAGCUGGCUAGACCUAUAUUGACGCUGAGGCACGAAAGCGUGGGGAGCGAACAGG
rnacentral:rRNA from 1 species